rnacentral:rRNA from 1 species
AAAUUGAAGAGUUUGAUCAUGGCUCAGAUUGAACGCUGGCGGCAGGCCUAACACAUGCAAGUCGAGCGGCAGCGGGAAAGUAGCUUGCUACUUUUGCCGGCGAGCGGCGGACGGGUGAGUAAUGCCUGGGAAAUUGCCCAGUCGAGGGGGAUAACAGUUGGAAACGACUGCUAAUACCGCAUACGCCCUACGGGGGAAAGCAGGGGACCUUCGGGCCUUGCGCGAUUGGAUAUGCCCAGGUGGGAUUAGCUAGUUGGUGAGGUAAUGGCUCACCAAGGCGACGAUCCCUAGCUGGUCUGAGAGGAUGAUCAGCCACACUGGAACUGAGACACGGUCCAGACUCCUACGGGAGGCAGCAGUGGGGAAUAUUGCAC